CAAUAGCGUAUAUUAAAGUUGUUGCAGUUAAAAAGCUCGUAGUUGGAUUUCUGGUGGGAGCGAUCGGUCUGGCGCUUAGCGCGAGUACUUGCAUCGUCUCCGGCCAUCCUUGGGGAGAGUCUGUCUGGCAUUAGGUUGUCGGGCAGAGGAUCCUCAUCGUUUACUGUGAAAAAAUUAGAGUGUUCAAAGCAGGCUUAUUCCGUUGAAUAUAUUAGCAUGGAAUAAUAAGAUAGGACUUUGGUACUAUUUUGUUGGUUUGCGCACCAAAGUAAUGAUUAAUAGGGACAGUUGGGGGUAUUCGUAUUCCGUUGUCAGAGGUGAAAUUCUUGGAUUUACGGAAGACGAACUACUGCGAAAGCAUUUACCAAGGAUGUUUUCAUUAA
rnacentral:rRNA from 1 species